rnacentral:rRNA from 1 species
UCCAGACUCCUACGGGAGGCAGCAGUGGGGAAUAUUGCACAAUGGGGGAAACCCUGAUGCAGCGACGCCGCGUGAGUGAAGAAGUAUUUCGGUAUGUAAAGCUCUAUCAGCAGGGAAGAAGAAAGACGGUACCUGACUAAGAAGCCCCGGCUAACUACGUGCCAGCAGCCGCGGUAAUACGUAGGGGGCAAGCGUUAUCCGGAUUUACUGGGUGUAAAGGGAGCGUAGACGGCUGUGCAAGUCUGAAGUGAAAGCCCGGGGCUCAACCCCGGGACUGCUUUGGAAACUGUGUUGCUGGAGUGCUGGAGAGGCAAGCGGAAUUUCUAGUGUAGCGGUGAAAUGCGUAGAUAUUAGGAAGAACACCAGUGGCGAAGGCGGCUUGCUGGACAGUAACUGACGUUGAGGCUCGAAAGCGUGGGGAGCAAACAGGAUUAGAUACCCCAGUAC